rnacentral:rRNA from 1 species
AUUGAACGCUGGCGGCAUGCUUUACACAUGCAAGUCGAACGGCAGCGCGGGCUUCGGCCUGGCGGCGAGUGGCGAACGGGUGAGUAAUACAUCGGAACGUGCCCAGUAGUGGGGGAUAGCUCGGCGAAAGCCGGAUUAAUACCGCAUACGACCUGAGGGUGAAAGCGGGGGAUCUUCGGACCUCGCGCUAUUGGAGCGGCCGAUGGCAGAUUAGCUAGUUGGUGGGGUAAAGGCCUACCAAGGCGACGAUCUGUAGCUGGUCUGAGAGGACGACCAGCCACACUGGGACUGAGACACGGCCCAGACUCCUACGGGAGGCAGCAGUGGGGAAUUUUGGACAAUGGGCGAAAGCCUGAUCCAGCAAUGCCGCGUGUGUGAUGAAGGCCUUCGGGUUGUAAAGCACUUUUGGCGGGAACGAAAAGGACUGUGCCAAUACCACGGUUCGAUGACGGUACCCGAAGAAUAAGCACCGGCUAACUACGUG